GCUCAGUCAGUUGAAUGUCCAACUCUUGAUUUCAGCUCAGGUCACGAUCUGAGAGGGUUGUGGGAUCGAGUCCCACACUGGGCU
rnacentral:tRNA from 1 species